AAUUUUUAAUUAAAUUUAUUUUCUCUCCCAUCGCCUCACAAAACAAACCCCUCUUUUUUCUAACACACAGCCACAGAAAUAAAAUUCUCGUAUUGACCACGUCCAAAGCCUAUCAGUCUCCCUCUGCACCCCGAGUCACCGACUCUCGGGCAGGAGGUGGGUGGCACACGCCAUCCUCCGUCCUCGGCAGUCCAGGCUGGUCAUUGUGUCGUUCAGAAUGGUCCGGUUGUUUGUUGUCUAUACGUUGUUCUCCUGGUUCCGGUCCUUUCGCUCGGCGUCGGGUCCUAGGAGCGAAAGAACCAGUCCUGAUAUUCUCCUUCUGUCUCCGAUGAGCAGCUUGUACUUCUCGGCCAGAGGUUUAUCGGGUGUGCCUCUGGAGAAGGAGAAGGGGCCCUCCACAGGCUGGGGGUGGAUGCGUUGGGGGUGGGUGGGGAAUGUGUCUGCGCCAUCUCUGUUUCGGCUCCUCUUCUAGCCUCUAAUGACUCAGCAGACUGGUCAUUCUUCUGCCUUGCAGAAUUACAAUAAUGGAGUGGGGAAGGAAGAAAAGGGCAAUCUCAUUUUUUUCUGAGUUUCUUUUCCAAAGAACAGGCAGCAAGCGGUUGCCAAGAGCGUCUGUGCUAGUCCUAGACAGUGAAUCCUUUCCCUGGACUCAGAGCCUGGGCUCUGGUUUCAGGCCUUAAUAAAGAAUCCAGUGAAGCUGGGACACCUUUGGCCAAGGAGGGGCAGAGCUUUUCUCUGGUUAGCAGGCUACAAGAUGCGUUCCUGAUGCGUAGCCCCAGCCCUGGCUUCCGUGGAAGCCGGGGUGCAGGGGAGGUCCCUGGAACUGGAGAAACAGCAGCGAGUGGCCUGAUUCAGUACUGGCUGGGGGCCACUGCUGUUGCUGGCGGUGGCAGGAGAAUUUUUCCAUGCAGAGGAAGAGGAAAAAUCAGAUGAGGUUUCCCACAGGCAUGGGCCAUUUUUAUGCAGGCUGGUCGGGUCCUGGCAUUUCCCAGCAGAAUCACACAGUGCCCUCGAGAGAUGUCUUCAAGCAAAGGAUGGGAAUGACUUCUUGAGUGUGUUUAUCAGGGGCCGCACAUGCCAGAGACAGAACGCCAUCCGGGCCCUGCUGCCUCUUUAAGGCACAAAACUGCCAGUUACGUCCUUGUCUGGGAGUACAGAAAGAAACAGCACGAGAUCGGGGGAGAUUAUCAGGAACACAAAAACAUUUCACAAAACCACAGAAUCAAAGACUGCAUGAGACCUCACCAGCCAUCAAAUUCAGCUUCUGCCUGACCAAGAAUCCCUGCUGCAACGUACCAGUAUGGAAUCUGCCAGGCUUUUCUGGAGGACAGCUAUCGAGGGCAAUCUCACCAGCAGCCUGAGAUAGCCAGUUCCCCCUCUGGGCAGCUUUAGCUGCUGGAAAGGUUUUUCUGGAAUCAGAACUGAAAUUUGCCUCAUUGCCAGUCUAACCGCUAUUCCCAGUUUUGCCUUCUUGUACUCAGCAGAGGAAGACUCAUUUCUCUUCCGCAUGACGGUCCUUCAGCUAUACACAUACCUCCCUCAUACGGCUUGUUCUCAAUAGCCUUCACCAUCUUGGUUCUCCUCCUCUGGGCACCCUCCUAGCUUAUCAAUGUGUUCUAUGCAGCCAAACAGAAAAUUUGUACAGGUUUGGGUUCUGG